rnacentral:ncRNA from 2 species
AAUUAGUGCUAGGGGUGCCUUUUGGCUGAGAGAAGUUAUAAAAACUUUAACCCUUUGAACCUGAUUCGGUUAAUUCUGACGAAGGAAAGCUUUUAUAACGUUAA